GUGCGCCAAUCUGUUGUCGCUAAACUCUGAUAGAAAUCUCAGUGUAACAUCGAGUAAGUCGCACCCUGCUCCCAGCAUAAAUUGUUCCUGUAAAUAAGUCCUCUUGCUAGAGUUUGUUCAGUGGAGGACCUUUCGAUGCUCAAGUCAGUCAGAGUUUAGAGAACAAUAGAAAAAAAAAACCACGAAGAUUAGAGAAAAUUAUCUGUUAGCCAAAACUUAUCCUUGGCCCCCCUCUUAUCUCUCUCUCUAUAUGGAGGUGGAGUCUACUGUUACUCCGUAAAUUCCACCCCUUGGGGCGUGGGAGUUAUUGAAUUUACUAUGGGUGUAAUGGGUAGUUAAUUAGGCUCACGAUUUCUCAAUUGUGAGUAGCUAAUGCGCUCUUUACGCGUUGUAACCAUUAUUCCGACCAAGGUUCCCUGUAUCGGUACUGAACGACGUACUGGUGCCGGCCCGAUACGGUACGGUACUGGUACCAUACCGACUCACGAUACGCCAAAACAUAUCGGUUUGAUAUCGGUACAUAAUUUUUUUUUCGAUUUUUAUUUUUUUUUUGGAUGUUGAAGUUAAUAAUUGAUAAAUACAACCUCAAAAUGGCAUUAUAUUGCAUAUUAUUGACAUAUUUGGGUUCAAUUUGGAGUUAGAUAGCGGUACAAAGACUCU
rnacentral:lncRNA from 1 species